UGUGGGAGUGAGCCUGCUCGCGAUAGCGGUGUAUCAGUCAACGCCCUUGUUGACUGAUACACCGCUAUCGCGAGCAGGCUCACUCCCACA
rnacentral:misc_RNA from 1 species